rnacentral:rRNA from 1 species
CGUAGGCGGAUUGUUAAGUCGGGGUGAAAUCCCGGGGCUCAACCCCGGAACUGCCUCCGAUACUGGCAGUCUCGAGUCCGAGAGAGGUGAGUGGAAUUCCGAGUGUAGAGGUGAAAUUCGUAGAUAUUCGGAGGAACACCAGUGGCGAAGGCGGCUCACUGGCUCGGUACUGACGCUGAGGUGCGAAAGCGUGGGGAGCAAACA